rnacentral:rRNA from 1 species
UACGUAGGGUGCGAGCGUUAAUCGGAAUUACUGGGCGUAAAGCGUGCGCAGGCGGUUCGUUAAGUCAGAUGUGAAAGCCCCGGGCUCAACCUGGGAACUGCAUUUGAAACUGGCGGGCUUGAGUGUGGCAGAGGGGGGUGGAAUUCCGCGUGUAGCAGUGAAAUGCGUAGAGAUGCGGAGGAACACCGAUGGCGAAGGCAGCCCCCUGGGCCAACACUGACGCUCAGGCACGAAAGCGUGGGGAUCAAACAGG